CCGGUACAAACCAUUAAAAAAUUUCGGUACCAUGUUUUCUUCUUUUUACUUAUGCAGAAGUUCACCGAGGGGACUAGUUAUUACCAUUUUGCGGUAGUUUUUACGCAUUGGUUUGCCCCUUUCACAAGAUUUUGACACUUUUUCGCCAGCUUCGCCGCGCGCCAAAUCUUGUUUUUGUUUAUGUAUUUUGAUAGUAAACAUCGGUUACCCACAAAAAUAAAACGAUGUUCUUCAACUUAUCCGGUUAGUCCGCGGUUGCGACCGAAAUCCAUCGGCAAAUAAAUUAGGUAAUUUGCGCGGCGAACCUCCAGUGGUGGGCAGCGCAGCAACAAAAAUUGCACCAGCAGCGGCAAAGCUAAACUGCCGGUUAGUUUUUUUCCCCGUUCCGAGAACCGGACAUAAAGUGUAUCGCCGGUGGACAAAGGACACGCAGCGAAAGAAUCUGCAGCAAACAUUUUCGUCGAAAGCGAAAAAGCGGUGCAAACUGAAAUCGGGUGCCGUGCCGUCUGUUAAAAUCCCAGUCGGAUGUGUAUAAGAACAGACCGGGCAAUACGUGUUGUAUCCCGCAAUGUAGUCCACAUAAAAGGAAAACAAUCAUGCACUCCCGGCACGAUAGGCGGCAGUCUUGGCGGCAGUGGAAAAUUGCUAUCGGGAUGGAGGACACCGAUGAUCCGACAGGCCUCCGGAUUAGCAGUCGCCAUUUCAAAACAUCAGACUUCAUCAAAGCCAUUCCUGAUAGCCAUGGCUGAUAUUCAUCACGCUCCAAGAGCAAAUAGGCUACUUGGCAAGCUGGAACUAUUGCGCCGUCAAUAGAUCGCACAAUCGUCGCGUCUCAAACGGGGUUGAAUUUCGUCAAAAUAUGUAUAUUGUUAAACAUUUGAUACAUUAAAUUGCGAGGGGAAGGGGCAGUUUCACCAGUAAUUGUUAAAUAUCCGAAAACCCCCCAAACGAAUAAAACGUCUUAAUACACCGUAAGUAAGGUCUAUCAGUAUAGCACGUUCAACAGCAAACUAGUCUAUCGAACUAUAAAAGGUGCGAAUUCGCCUUGAAAAAUUUGGACGUUACUUCUUUAAGAAGUUGUUCCAUAGGUCCAAGAAUAUUUGAUCUUAUUAGGCCUUCUUAUUAUUCCAUAGGUCCAAGAAUAUGUUGUCUUAUUUGACCCACCACGGCCUCGCAAAUUGCAUGGAGAUGCAAGAAACAUAAUUUUGGAACAGUUCACUUCUUCAGUUCCAGAGGUCCAAGGUUU